rnacentral:rRNA from 1 species
UACGGAGGGUGCAAGCGUUAUCCGGAUUCACUGGGUUUAAAGGGUGCGUAGGUGGGUCUGUAAGUCAGUGGUGAAAUCCCCGAGCUUAACUUGGGAACUGCCGUUGAUACUAUAGAUCUUGAAUAUCGUGGAGGUAAGCGGAAUAUGUCAUGUAGCGGUGAAAUGCUUAGAUAUGACAUAGAACACCAAUUGUGAAGGCAGCUUACUACACGAUCAUUGACACUGAGGCACGAAAGCGUGGGGAGCAAACAGG